rnacentral:misc_RNA from 1 species
GAUGAAGAACGUAGCGAAAUGCGAUAAGUAAUGUGAAUUGCAGAAUUCAGUGAAUCAUCGAAUCUUUGAACGCACAUUGCGCCCGCCAGUAUUCUGGCGAGCAUGCCUGUUCGAGCGUCAUUUCAACCAUCAAGCCCCAGGCUUGUGUUGGAGCCCUGCGGCUGCCGCAGCCUCCAAAACCAGUGGCGGGCUCGCUAUCACACCGAGUGCAGUAGUUUACUCUUCGCUCAGGGCGUGUGGCGGGUGCUAGCCGUGAAACCCCCAACUUCUCAAGGUUGACCUCGGAUCAGGUAGGAAUACCCGCUGAACUUAAGCAUAUCAAUAAGCGGAGGA